CCUACGGGAGGCAGCAGUGGGGAAUUUUGGACAAUGGGCGCAAGCCUGAUCCAGCCAUGCCGCGUGCAGGAUGAAGGCCUUCGGGUUGUAAACUGCUUUUGUACGGAACGAAAAGACUCUGGUUAAUACCUGGGGUCCAUGACGGUACCGUAAGAAUAAGCACCGGCUAACUACGUGCCAGCAGCCGCGGUAAUACGUAGGGUGCGAGCGUUAAUCGGAAUUACUGGGCGUAAAGCGUGCGCAGGCGGUUAUAUAAGACAGAUGUGAAAUCCCCGGGCUCAACCUGGGAACUGCAUUUGUGACUGUAUAGCUAGAGUACGGCAGAGGGGGAUGGAAUUCCGCGUGUAGCAGUGAAAUGCGUAGAUAUGCGGAGGAACACCGAUGGCGAAGGCAAUCCCCUGGGCCUGUACUGACGCUCAUGCACGAAAGCGUGGGGAGCAAACAGGAUUAGAUACCCUGGUAGUCCACGCCCUAAACGAUGUCAACUGGUUGUUGGGUCUUCACUGACUCAGUAACGAAGCUAACGCGUGAAGUUGACCGCCUGGGGNGGACGGCCGCGAGUAGUAACGUACGAAGAAGUUAGUACGGCGUGAGACGUAGCCGACGGACGACGACGAGGGAGGAGG
rnacentral:rRNA from 1 species